rnacentral:lncRNA from 1 species
GUCAAAUGAUGCCAGCUCAGGAAUUCUGACAGCCACAGACUGAAUUUUGAACCUCUUCAGUUUCCAAAUAGUUAAGACAGAGAAAAUGAGUUCAGUGUAACAUAGUCAGAUUAAAAUAACCAAUUCAGUGUUGCAGGAGAAGAAUUCCGGCUGAGUCUAAGAUGAGUGCCUAGCCCAGGGCCCUGCAGUGGACAUAUGCCAUCAGUUCCUUGACAACGAGAAGCCAUAUGCAAGAAGAUCUUACUUGAAGGCGUAAAAGAACAGAAUUCAUUCAGUGAUACAUCACUUUGGUUAUCUUGAAGAUACUUAAAGAGAAGCUAGAACGUGCCAGACAUUUCUCUGCAGACUUCAUGAAGAGUUGGAGAAAGUUUCAAGGUCACAGGGGAAAAUGGAUGUAGGGGCAUUAGCUGGCAUGUCCCUUUAAAGACCAUGUGUCCUUGAGGCUCCUGUCUGGGCUACACACCAGCACUCACGAUGAUAACAGUCCUGGGCUUGGCCAACCCAGCUGCUUUCUUGUGGGAGAGUUAGCACCAAGACCUUGUGGACUGAGGGAACACAGAGGCCCUCCGGGGGGGCUCUGGUCCUUGGAAUGUAGGUCAUACAGGGACAGUCCCUUUUGGCAAGCAUGCAGACUUUGUUCCUCUCCCUACUUAAGCCAGCUUCUCUCAGGGGGUGGCAGCGGAUGCACGUUGCUGUCCAGCCCACCGUCACUGAACCUCCCCUAAUUCCACAGCUCAGGUGAACUGGUGUUGUGGCGAGGAUGGGCAUGGAGCACAGUUUACACACCUGAUAUUACCAACCUGAGGAGGUAUGAACGUCAGCACCAUCACACUCUUGCUGGAAACUGGAGGAACUGAAGACACAAGGAGAUACAAUCACUUCAGGAAUAGCUCAACUGAGCACUGGCUGAAAGGAGGUAGGAAAGGUCAUAGAGUAUAUGGCUUCUAGAUGCUUCUGCUUCUGGAUGAAGCCCCCGGCUUCUGGGUGACAGCCAGACAGGAAAGUCACGGUCUUGGACUAUCAAUUCAAAUGAUCAAAGUCAACAGAGGAAACGCCAUGAGCGCCCAAGGUGAUGCUUCAAUUUCUGUGGCCCCUGGACAGUUGUCCUUGAAGGAAAAGGGCAUCUGAUAUUGUAGGGUUGUUUCUUUUGGAGCCCAGGGCUGUGAGAGUCCUUCUCUUAACCACGGUGGGGUAUUUUUAUUUACAGCUGGGAUGAUAAUUAUAUAUACGAUUUUUUUUAAUAUGGAACAUGGAUCCUCUUUUUUACUCUUAAAGGAGAGAAAGUUUUCCUACCAAAUCUGUUAUUACCAAGUGGUAUUUUCUUCU